rnacentral:rRNA from 1 species
GGCUAGUACGCGCCAAGAGUUCAUAUCGACGCGCGUGUUCGGCACCUCGAUGUUGGAUCAUCGCGUCCUAAGGCUGCACAAGGUCUUAAGGGUUAGGCUGUUCGCCUAUUAAAGCGGUACGUGAUCUGAGUUCAGAACGUCGUGAGACAGUUCGGUUUCUAUCCGUGUUCCCUUUAAAAUCUUAAUUUUAUUAAGAAAUAGUUAAAUGUAUAUUGGGGUAUGAGUACGAAAGGACCAAUAUCCUCUAAACCUCUGGUGUACUUGUUGUCUAAAAGAGGCAUAGCAAGAAAGCUAAGUUUAUAAUAAAAAAUACAGAA